CUCAUUCCAUGUGAUUGGUUGUGGCUCAGCAUGCUCUAGUGUGCCUGGUUUCCAACACACAAACUAAACUUUCCUGCCAGCCUGGGCAAUAUCAGGCUCCGGAGUGCUUUGACAACCCCCUGUAAUAUUGGAAUUUCUGACUUUGUUCCAAAAAGGAUGAUAAAGCGUACUGGGAUGCCACCCGUGCCUUCAUGAUCCUCUCCCUGCUGGCCUGCUUCAUUGGAAUUGUGAUCGGCGUCAUGGCUUUCAUACUCUCCUCCUUCAGUGGGUUUGACAAGACGUUUGCUGCCAGCAUCCUCUUCUUCAUCUAACCACUAGGCAGGUAGCCUAGUGGUUAGACCGUUGGAUUAGUGAGCGAAAGGUUGCAAGAUCGAAUCCCUGAACUGGCAAAGUAAAAAGCUGUUGUUCUGCCCGAGCAAGGCAGUGUUAGGCACUCUUCCUAGGCCGAAUUGGAAUUUGUUCUUAACUGACAUGAGAUUUGAAUAUGUAUGUUGGCAGCAGCCACUCAAUGUUAGUGAUGGCUGUUUAACAGACUGAUGGCCUUGAGAUAGAAGCUGUUUUUCAGUCCCUCGGUUCCAGCUUUGAUGCACCUGUACUGACCUCGCCUUCUGGAUGAUAGCGGGGUGAACAGGCAGUGGCUCGGGUGGUUGUUGUCCUUGAUCUUUUUGGCUUUCCUGUGACAUCGGGUGAUGUAGGUGUCCUGUAGGGUGCCGUUUGAGAUGGCUCUGUCCAACAUGAUUCAUUUGAAUAUUUAUUUUUCUUCACAUAAGUAAAUAAACCAGUGGACAGUAUGUCCAUGAACUGAA